rnacentral:rRNA from 1 species
CAGCAGCCGCGGGAAUACGAAGGGGGCUAGCGUUGUUCGGAAUUACUGGGCGUAAAGCGCACGUAGGCGGACAUUUAAGUCAGGGGUGAAAUCCCGGGGCUCAACCCCGGAACUGCCUUUGAUACUGGGUGUCUAGAGUAUGGAAGAGGUGAGUGGAAUUCCGAGUGUAGAGGUGAAAUUCGUAGAUAUUCGGAGGAACACCAGUGGCGAAGGCGGCUCACUGGUCCAUUACUGACGCUGAGGUGCGAAAGCGUGGGGAGCAAACAUGAUUAGAUACCCGAGUAGUCCCUGUCUCUUAUAC